AUUGAACGCUGGCGGCAUGCCUUACACAUGCAAGUCGAACGGUAACGGGCCUUCGGGUGCCGACGAGUGGCGAACGGGUGAGUAAUACAUCGGAACGUGCCCGAUCGUGGGGGAUAACGAGGCGAAAGCUUUGCUAAUACCGCGUACGAUCUACGGAUGAAAGCAGGGGACCGCAAGGCCUUGCGCGGACGGAGCGGCCGAUGGCAGAUUAGGUAGUUGGUGGGAUAAAAGCUUACCAAGCCGACGAUCUGUAGCUGGUCUGAGAGGAUGAUCAGCCACACUGGGACUGAGACACGGCCCAGACUCCUACGGGAGGCAGCAGUGGGGAAUUUUGGACAAUGGGCGCAAGCCUGAUCCAGCCAUGCCGCGUGCAGGAUGAAGGCCUUCGGGUUGUAAACUGCUUUUGUACGGAACGAAAAGCCUUCUUUUAAUACAGGAGGGUCAUGACGGUACCGUAAGAAUAAGCACCGGCUAACUACGUG
rnacentral:rRNA from 1 species